CAAGUCGAGCGAGAAUCGUAGCAAUACGAGGACAGCGGCGAAAGGGAGAGGCCUACGUAGAUAUCUGCCCCUGAGACCGGGAUAGCGUCGGGAAACUGGCAGUAAUACCGGAUAACGUCUUUGGACCAAAGGUGUGAUUCCGCUCGGGGAUGAGUCUACGCCCUAUUAGCUAGUUGGUGGGGUAAUGGCCUACCAAGGCGAUGAUGGGUAGCGGGUGUGAGAGCAUGAUCCGCCUCACUGGGACUGAGAACUGCCCAGACACCUACGGGUGGCUGCAGUCGAGAAUCUUUGUCAAUGGACGAAAGUCUGAACAAGCGACGCCGCGUGCGGGAUGAAGGCCUUCGGGUUGUAAACCGCUGUCGUAGGGGAACAAAUGUAGAGGGGUUCUCCCCUUUAUUUGAGUGAUCCUAGGAGGAAGGAGAGGCUAAGCUCGUGCCAGCAGCCGCGGUAAGACGAGCUCUCCAAACGUUAUUCGGAAUCACUGGGCUUAAAGAGUUCGUAGGCGGCUCAGCAGGUCAGGUGUGAAAUCCCACAGCUCAACUGUGGAACUGCGCUUGAAACCGCUGGGCUUGAGGGAGACAGAGGUAAGCGGAACAGAUGGUGGAGCGGUGAAAUGCGUUGAUAUCAUCUGGAACACCGGUGGCGAAAGCGGCUUACUGGGUCUCUUCUGACGCUGAGGAACGAAAGCUAGGGUAGCAAACGGGAUUAGAUACCCCGGUAGUCCUAGCCGUAAACGAUGAGCACUAGUCUGUGGGGACCCUCACAUCCUCUCGGACGUAGCGAAAGUGUUAAGUGCUCCGCCUGGGGAGUAUGGUCGCAAGGCUGAACUCAAGGAAUUGACGG
rnacentral:rRNA from 1 species